UUCAACUAUAUGUUAUCUGGAUAAGAGAAGACAAUAGUGACGUUAAUUAUUUUUGUUAAUUAUAUAUUUGCAAAACUACAUCUAAUAGAAACGAAAUUUUCGAGUGGUUGAAAAGGAUUUGAAAUACUUAUUAAUAUCAACCAUCGGCAUUGACGUCGAAUAGAUGUGCACUCAUGUAGUCGGCGCCCUUGGAUGAAAAUAAAAGUAAAUUUUAAUCAGUCAACUGACCACGGUCAACCUGUUAUAUAACACGGACUCAAGGACACGCAGACUUCCAUUGAUAACGUGCUCUGCCGGAAUCCUGCUGACACGAAAAGAUCUAUUUCAUGGAAGUGAUUAUCGUGCUUGCCCCCGAGGAAUUAGGGUCCGGUUGUUCCAAGGUCGCCCCAUGUCCGACGACUGUAGCCCUAUUAUCUAACUCAGAGUUCGCAACGAUCUGCGCAUUUUGGGCCGAUUCCUUAAGCGACGUCCACUUUUACCCCCGCUACCGCUCGCCACCCGAUGGUCGAGCUCGCGAUCACGCGAGCGGCGCUCUGCCUCAGGAGCAUCCGUUAAAAAUACGCUAGUAGCGUACCUUUCGAGAAAAAUUUUUUUUUUAACUUAAUUUUUAUAAUAACAAUAAUGUACGGUAAUUAGAAUUUAGACAAUAGCUUUCUACAUCACCCUUAUGCAGUACAUAUUUUAUUUUCUUUGAUUUUUUAGUGGACUAGGCCUACUUGGGAAACCACAUAAAAAAAACGCAUCAAUAAUAGUACCUCAUGUGUGAUGUGGAAAGCUAUGUACGGUAAUUAGAAUUUAGACAAUAGCUUUCCACAUUACCCUUGAGGUACUUUAGUAGAAGGGCAUAUAUUCAACAUACUUCUGAGAUGGAAACGCCCCUGAGGCCACAGCGCUCGGCGCGCGAUCGGCAGCUCGGUACGCGGGGUAUGUGAGACUCGCCGACCUAGACGUGACCGGCAUACUUACCGGCAAAACCCAACUUUUUUUUGCGUCUCAUCUCGAGACGGAUCACGGAAUCGAACUAAACAUUCACCGCGAAGCCUAACCUACCCUAACCCAACGACGAUGUUUUACAACAUAAUGACGGAUGUAACAACAACGAUAAUACAUUGUUUGGCAAUGAUAAUAUCAUUUAUUUAUCAUCAGUUUCGCAAUUUGCAGAAUAUGGGAUUUAAAUACAUUUUAGGAACAUCUUACCUCGGCCUCUCCUACUUGGUUUUGAACAUCAUAAAGACCGGAAAGGUUCCCAGGCACGUAGCGUUCAUCAUGGAUGGUAACAGACGCUACGCGCAGAAACGAAACAUGACAAAAAAGGAGGGACACUUAAAGGGGUUUGAUAAAAUGAUUGAAACGUUGAAUUGGUGCAUGGACCUUGGUAUUAAAGAAAUCACAGUUUAUGCGUUCAGCAUAGGCAACUUUAAUCGUAGCCAAGAGGAACUUGAUGGCCUCAUGGAUCUCAGUAGGCAGAAAUUUAACAACCUCUUAAAAAAUAUAUAUGUAUUUUAAAUCAAAGACAUAUUGAUGAAUGCUGGAGUGUGCUUUCGUGCGUUUGGAAAUUUGUCCUUGAUCCCAGAAGAUAUAAACCAAUUAAUGGCUCAAAUUGUAAUUGCCACUAAGGAUAAUAAUAAAGCAUUUUUAAAUUUUGCUGUCGCUUAUACGUCAAGGGAUGAACUUACUCAUGCAAUUACAGAUAUUGCAACGGCUGUAAAACAUAAUGAAAUCUUACCAGAAGAUAUUACCGAAGAGUUAAUAUCUGACUAUUUGUACACUUACCAAUCCUCAAAUCCAGAGUUAUUGAUUCGUACGUCUGGAGAAUGUCGACUUAGCGACUUUUUGAUGUGGCAGCUUUCCAACGCUUGCCUCUACUUUACUGAUACCUUAUGGCCUGAAUUCAACUUAUGGAACUUGCUCGGUGCAGUCUUUUAUUAUCAAAAAUGUUAUUAUAUGUAUUAUGUAUUUAGAAAAAACUCCCUUUUCUCGUAAAACAGCAUUUUAUAGUAUUCCAACUUUAGACAGAGUAUAUGCGAGUAACAUCCGCAAACCGACCUGUUCGAACGCAUUUUGUCCAGUUUUUUUAUGUAAAAUAGUCACAAAAAUUUCCACUUACAUACUAUAUGGAUCGCAUUUGCCCUAACAAAACUUUGCUGCCGUGACGUUCGAAUUCUAGUUGAUCAAAAAAGUUGGUCAAACAUAUCAAUCGAAAGAGGAGAUUUCAAACUUUUUUUACGUCUUGCUCCGAACCUC